rnacentral:rRNA from 1 species
GGAGGAUGCAAGCGUUAUCCGGAUUCAUUGGGGUUUAAAGGGUGCGUAGGCGGAAUGAUAAGUUAGUGGUGAAAGCCCCCGGCUCAACCGGGGGAACUGCCAUUAAAACUGUCAUUCUUGAGUAUAGUUGAAGUGGGCGGAAUGCAUCAUGUAGCGGUGAAAUGCUUAGAUAUGAUACAGAACACCGAUAGCGAAGGCAGCUUGCUAAACUAUAACUGACGCUCAGGCACGAAAGCGUGGGGAGCAAACAGGAUUAGAUACCCUGGUAGUCCACGCCGUAAACGAUGAUCACUCGCUGUUGGCGAUACACAGUCAGCGGCUUAGGGAAACCAUUAAGUGAUCCACCUGGGGAGUACGGUCGCAAAGAUUG